GAUGAAGAACGCAGCGAAAUGCGAUACGUAAUGUGAAUUGCAGAAUUCAGUGAAUCAUCGAAUCUUUGAACGCAUAUUGCGCUCUCUGGUAUUCCGGAGAGCAUGCUUGUUUGAGUAUCAGUAAACACCUCAACUCCCUUUUCUUUUUUGAAAUUGGAGCUGGACUUGAGUGAUCCCAACGCUUUCUUCCAAGAAAGUGGCGGGUUGCUUGAAAUGCAGGUGCAGCUGAACUUUUCUCUGAGCUAUAAGCAUAUCUAUUUAGUCUGCCUAAAAAACAGAUUAUUACCUUUGCUGCAGCUAACAUAAAGGAGACUAGUUCUUGUGCUGACUGAUGCAGGAUUCACAGAGACAGCUUCGGCUGUCUUUGUAAACUCGAUCUCAAAUCAAGUAAGACUACCCGCUGAACUUAAGCAUAUCAAUAAGCGGAGGA
rnacentral:misc_RNA from 1 species